rnacentral:misc_RNA from 1 species
AAGAAGAUGUCUGCGUUCCCUCUG